rnacentral:rRNA from 1 species
UACGAAGGGGGCUAGCGUUGCUCGGAAUCACUGGGCGUAACGGGCGCGUCGGCGGAUCUUUAAGUCGGGGGUGAAAGCCCAGGGCUCAACCCUGGAAUUGCCUUCGAUACUGGAGAUCUUGAGACCGGAAGAGGUAAGUGGAACUGCGAGUGUAGAGGUGAAAUUCGUAGAUAUUCGCAAGAACACCAGUGGCGAAGGCGGCUGCCUGGACCGACACUGACGCUGAGGCGCGAAAGCUAGGGGAGCAAACGGG